ensembl:lncRNA
AGCCAGUGUGCUAGUGGGUUACAUAAGGCUGGGGAAGAGGCGGAUGGAUGGGGAGACUGUAAGAGGCUUAUUGUCAUGACGAUAUCUGGAUAAAGAAGGAGCUGUGCGGUUUAACUUUCAAGUGAGUGUGAAGAAUCGAACGUACAGCUGAGGGCUGGUGAGACAAAGUGCAGACAACUAACUGCUGGAGAGCUCAAAGCAUUUGGCUGCUUCUUCCAGAGGGAUGCGUGCAUGAUCGCACCUGCGCGUGAGCGUCUGUGCAGAUUUAACAGCGGGUGAUGAAGAGGGAGCUACUUAAAGAGCAAGCCCCGAAGUGCCCGUAGGAGACCUGAUCAUCAAGGCCGCCAGUGUGGCAGAGGGACCCUGGAGAAAGAACGGCACUGCACACCGCUCCCACUUUGCAAACUUCUCCAGGUGGUGAAAGAGUCCAGACCCGGGCAGGAAGGAGUCUUCUCUCUCCAGAAGUUAAGCUGAAGUUCUGGGAGCCAGAUCCACGGGACCUGGCAUGAAAUGGGAGGCGUUGUGCCUGCCUGGCAUACCGUAAGUGUCCAUCACGUUUCUGUUGGAUGGUUAAACACGGAGUAAACGAGAUUUGUUCUUUCCAGAACCUGGAGCUCAGUAGGAAGGUGAGAGAGAGUGUCAGAUAUUUGAAAUAGGAAAAAUGAAGUUGAGGUGUGGCCUGGAGGAAGAGGAGCCAGGAGGCUACCUGCUGGAAAUCAUAGGC